AUCUACAGCUUGCAGGGUAAAAAGGAGGAAGAACAAGAGCAGUUUGAGACAUAUCGAAGUCUUGUACCUGAAGAGUUUCCCCAGAGAGGAUUCCUUGAUGAUGUGGUACUGGCAGCCAAAACAGAAUCUCAAGAGCAUCUGGAGAAGGAUUUUGAAGCUGAAUGCUCCUAUAGGAAGUGAAAAUCAAUCAUCAAUAGGCAGAGAGAGAUAUAUACUAUUGAGUGGGUGGCAUCAAGGUCAUGCAUCUUUGUCAGUGCCUGCAAAAAGGAAAUAGAGCACAAGAACUAUCAAUUGGGGGGCAGCAAUAAGUUCCAAUUGUUCAAGGAGCAGGGACUUCGAGGCACUUUUAGCAGCUAUAAGUUUUGUAGGAAAUUAUUUCUUCAGAUUUGAAUUUCCAAGCUACAUGUAAGAGAUUUUUGCAUUACAAUCACUUAAAAGAGAUUGCAGCACUAGUUCUGGUUGGAGGAACUACUAUAUUUCCAGCAGUGUCAUGAACAAUGAUAGUGGAGAAGUCUGGGAUACUUUUCACUAAUUGAGUAUAUUGGGAUGGACUUCUGUCGAUUUUGAUAUGGUUAUAUUGAUAGAUAGGCUGAUUGGCACCCUCUGAUGUUGGUGUUAUUGGAUAAUGUAACUCAAAUCUCAUUGGAUUGAUUGUUCCUUCCUUCCGUUCAGUGUAGAUUAAGGCAUUGGUAAAAUUAGAAUGUGAUUUGAUACUUUUGGUUUAA